CUUUCGCCACGUGAUGAAGUCAUGGGAUGGAAGCGCCUCGUACUGGUAAGUGGAAACAGAAAACUUCGUAGCAGGAUAUUACCUCAGAUCUCGUUGGUAAAAACAUGAUUGUGUAAAUUCACGAAGCUUCCUGUUGGAACAGACGCUGUGCAAAUCAAAGCUUUUCGUCGACAGAGACCAUAUACCGAGGGACGGGCCUCAGAGCUAAUUAGGAACUGAUUACUGCUGCGAGGCUUUGCGAGAUCUGCGAGAAGGCUCACAUCGGUGUUUUUACCUUCAUCUAUAUCAUCCACGGUAAGUUUAACUACUUUCAUUUGAUUUUGUAAGGGAUGACAACCAUACAUUGUAAGUAUCUGACAAAUGUAUGGAGCACAUAGUAUCUUCGAAAGGAAUAUACCAUGCACUGUGGUGAUCCCCUUUGUUGUGGACAAACAAAAUGGCUUCCUUCGGCGAAAUCGUGGAAAAAGACAUUUUUCCAGUACAUCUUGUCAAGUGAAACGUUAGCAAAGUCCUUAGUUACCGGGUUGUAUUGGACGAUCGGUUAUUUCUUUUUCACGCAGUGUACAUUAUUUCGUAGUUUUGUUUUGUAUUCUGUUAAAAUCGGCAAUGAAAGUGUAUCUGUAAUUGCAACCCUGUUAUUUCGUCAUACUGAAAACAUGUGAUUAUGCUAUAUCUUGUGGUACGCUGGUUUUAGUAAUAAAUCGCUCCAUGAGAAUGUCACUUAUAUUUUUGCAUUCAGCACUCUUUUCUGUAUGCAUUGAUAUGAAAAAUAAUAUGCUUUUAUCUUAUGUUUUUUUU